rnacentral:rRNA from 1 species
GCCUAACACAUGCAAGUCGAACGGUAAGGCCCCAGCUUGCUGGGGUACACGAGUGGCGAACGGGUGAGUAACACGUGGGUGACCUGCCCCGCACUUCGGGAUAAGCCUGGGAAACUGGGUCUAAUACCGGAUAGGACCGCACCGUGAGGGUGUGGUGGAAAGUUUUUCGGUGUGGGAUGGGCCCGCGGCCUAUCAGCUUGUUGGUGGGGUAAUGGCCUACCAAGGCGGCGACGGGUAGCCGGCCUGAGAGGGUGGACGGCCACAUUGGGACUGAGACACGGCCCAGACUCCUACGGGAGGCAGCAGUGGGGAAUAUUGCACAAUGGGCGGAAGCCUGAUGCAGCGACGCCGCGUGGGGGAUGACGGCCUUCGGGUUGUAAACUCCUUUCACCAUCGACGAAGGUUUUCUGACGGUAGAUGGAGAAGAAGCACCGGCUAACUACGUGCCAGCAGCCGCGGUAAUACGUAGGGUGCGAGCGUUGUCCGGAAUUACUGGGCGUAAAGAGCUCGUAGGUGGUUUGUCGCGUCGUCUGUGAAAUUCCGGGGCUUAACUCCGGGCGUGCAGGCGAUACGGGCAUAACUUGGAGUACUGUAGGGGAGACUGGAAUUCCUGGUGUAGCGGUGAAAUGCGCAGAUAUCAGGAGGAACACCGGUGGCGAAGGCGGGUCUCUGGGCAGUAACUGACGCUGAGGAGCGAAAGCAUGGGUAGCGAACAGGAUUAGAUACCCUGGUAGUCCAUGCCGUAAACGGUGGGCGCUAGGUGUAGGGGUCUUCCACGACUUCUGUGCCGUAGCUAACGCAUUAAGCGCCCCGCCUGGGGUACGGCCGCAAGGGCUAAAACUCAAAGGAAUUGACGGGGGCCCGCACAAGCGGCGGAGCAUGUGGAUUAAUUCGAUGCAACGCGAAGAACUUACCUGGGCUUGACAUAUACGGGACCGGGCCAGAGAUGGUCCUUCCCUUGUGGCUCGUAUACAGGUGGUGCAUGGUUGUCGUCAGCUCGUGUCGUGAGAUGUUGGGUUAAGUCCCGCAACGAGCGCAACCCUUGUCUUAAGUUGCCAGCACGUAAUGGUGGGGACUCGUGAGAAACUGCCGGGGUCAACUCGGAGGAAGGUGGGGAUGACGUCAAAUCAUCAUGCCCCUUAUGUCCAGGGCUUCACACAUGCUACAAUGGUCGGUACAGUGGGUUGCGAUGCCGUGAGGUGGAGCUAAUCCCUGAAAGCCGGUCUCAGUUCGGAUCGGGGUCUGCAACUCGACCCCGUGAAGUCGGAGUCGCUAGUAAUCGCAGAUCAGCAACGCUGCGGUGAAUACGUUCCCGGGCCUUGUACACACCGCCC